GAGUUUGAUCCUGGCUCAGGAUGAACGCUAGCGGCAGGCUUAACACAUGCAAGUCGAGGGGUAGAGGAAGCUUGCUUCCUUGAGACCGGCGCACGGGUGCGUAACGCGUAUGCAAUCUACCUUGUACAGGGGGAUAGCCCAGAGAAAUUUGGAUUAAUACCCCAUAGUGUAGUUGAAUGGCAUCAUUUAACUACUAAAGUUCCAACGGUACAAGAUGAGCAUGCGUCCUAUUAGCUAGUUGGUGUGGUAACGGCAUACCAAGGCUACGAUAGGUAGGGGUCCUGAGAGGGAGAUCCCCCACACUGGUACUGAGACACGGACCAGACUCCUACGGGAGGCAGCAGUGAGGAAUAUUGGACAAUGGGCGCAAGCCUGAUCCAGCCAUGCCGCGUGCAGGAAGACGGUCCUAUGGAUUGUAAACUGCUUUUAUACGGGAAGAAACACUCCUACGUGUAGGAACUUGACGGUACCGUAAGAAUAAGGAUCGGCUAACUCCGU
rnacentral:rRNA from 1 species